UAAGGAAUAUUGGUCAAUGGAGGGAACUCUGAACCAGCCAUGCCGCGUGCAGGAAGACAGCCCUCUGGGUCGUAAACUGCUUUUAUUCGGGAAUAAACCUAGUUACGUGUAAUUAGCUGAAUGUACCGAAGGAAUAAGGAUCGGCUAACUCCGUGCCAGCAGCCGCGGUAAUACGGAGGAUCCAAGCGUUAUCCGGAUUUAUUGGGUUUAAAGGGUGCGUAGGCGGCUUAUUAAGUCAGGGGUGAAAGACGGUGGCUCAACCAUCGCAGUGCCCUUGAUACUGAUGAGCUUGAAUACACUAGAGGUAGGCGGAAUGUGACAAGUAGCGGUGAAAUGCAUAGAUAUGUCACAGAACACCGAUUGCGAAGGCAGCUUACUAUGGUGUGAUUGACGCUGAGGCACGAAAGCGUGGGGAUCAAACA
rnacentral:rRNA from 1 species